rnacentral:rRNA from 1 species
UAGGGAAUCUUCCGCAAUGGACGAAAGUCUGACGGAGCAACGCCGCGUGAGUGAAGAAGGAUUUCGGUUCGUAAAACUCUGUUGUUAGGGAAGAAAAAAUGUAUAGUAACUAUAUACAAAAGAGACGGUACCUAACCAGAAAGCCACGGCUAACUACGUGCCAGCAGCCGCGGUAAUACGUAGGUGGCAAGCGUUGUCCGGAAUUAUUGGGCGUAAAGCGCGCGCAGGUGGUUUAGAAAGUCUGAUGUGAAAGCCCACGGCUCAACCGUGGAGGGUCAUUGGAAACUAAUAAACUUGAGUGCAGGAGAGAAAAGUGGAAUUCCUAGUGUAGCGGUGAAAUGCGUAGAGAUUAGGAGGAACGCCGGUGGCGAAAGCGGCUUUUUGGCCUGCAACUAACACUGAGGCGCGAAAGCGUGGGGAGCAAACGGG